rnacentral:lncRNA from 1 species
AUACCUUACUUGAAAUUGUUAUUAUUUUUGGAGUCAUUUAAUUUGUCUUAGCUCAAUUUUGGCUUUGAAACUGUAUAUUAGAUAUAAUGGAUAUUUCAUAUAAUUUAUGCUUGCCCUAACCAAUUUAGUAUUUCUCGAGGAAUCUUAUAAAAUAUACUUGCUAUCCAGGUACGUUCUCUAUCCUCUAAUUCCAAAAUUCUAUGAAAAUGCAUGCUAUCAUGAGCUAUAUCCAUGCUUUGAUUUAAUCCUUGGGUGCUUAGAUGUAUGUUUGACUUGCUUGGAUGAAAUGCAUGUUGCGUGCUAUAUCUCUAUACUAACUUUGAUGUCUUGUGAUAGCGCUUGAAAAGUCGUUCAGGUACGCACUUCGAUUCCCUCUCAUGGUUUGUUUUCUUAUUAGGCAUGCAAUAUUUGAAAUCACCUAGUCUACUUAGGUAUCCAUGAUCAACCAUUUAAUUGCCACGCUUCCCUUAACUUAGUCAGUAGAGACCUUUUUAGGGCUUAGAGGGGUGCUACCUCCUAAAGGUACCUUCCCAAUAAGUAACCUGAUCCCCGGACUUAGACUCGGGUUUCUCAAAGACAUGCUUUUUCCAAAACUAUGGAGUCACUUUUUAGGGUUUUUCUUUCUUGUUUUAUUUUCCCUUCAAAAUAAAAAUAAAAUAGGUGGCGACUCCAACUCUUUUUCAAAAAUCAAUUUUUUCACAAAUAAAAAGCGAGUCUCGCCGAUCGAGUGGGGGCGCACGUGAAAAAUGCGGGUCCACAAAUUGGCGACUCCACUGGGGACUUUGAGGAUCAAGCUUGAACACUAGUUGAGGAAAAUGUGGCGUUUAAUUGGUCGAUUAGUGGGUACCUCCUUUUUAGGCAAGGUGAUUCGAUUUGCUUACUUGUUUGGUUUGCUAUCUUACCAUGUUUGAUUGCCUUGGAUGAUCACUUGAUUGUUUUGCUCACUUUAACAUGAUUCACUCUCACAUAUGCUAGAUAGGACUUUGAUUGUUUGAUAUUUGUCUGCUUCGCAUGAUUGCUUGUUGCAUGACAACCUUUUCUCUUGCAUGUUCGUAUGAUUGCUUGUCUUCGUUCACUAUCUCACUUUAGAUCUUAGGUUUUUCGGAUGCACCCACAUCCUUCAUUGUGCACUUUAGAUUAUCCUUGAGUGUUGAGAGAUGGGAGAGCCUUCACCAUUAAGAAACCCCCUGGGAACGCGAGGAAGUGCAUGUGUGGAGGUGAUGACCACCUUGCAUGGAAGCACCCCGUCUCUUUGGAGGCGUGCAGAGGGUUGCGUACCGCCGGAGGGUACGAUCGCUUCUGCUAGGGAUCCUUUGACCCACCCAUUUUAUCCUAUAGAGCCGCCUUACCUUGUAGUUAACCUAGACCCAUUAGAUUUCAUUCUACACGUGGGUGCANNNNNNNNNNNNNNNNNNNNNNNNNNNNNNNNNNNNNNNNNNNNNNNNNNNNNNNNNNNNNNNNNNNNNNNNNNNNNNNNNNNNNNNNNNNNNNNNNNNNCCAGGUACGUUCUUCUNUUCCUCUAAUUCCAAAAUUCUAUGAAAAUGCAUGCUAUCAUGAGCUAUAUCCAUGCUUUGAUUUAAUCCUUGGGUGCUUAGAUGUAUGUUUGACUUGCUUGGAUGAAAUGCAUGUUGCGUGCUAUAUCUCUAUACUAACUUUGAUGUCUUGUGAUAGCGCUUGAAAAGUCGUUCAGGUACGCACUUCGAUUCCCUCUUAUGGUUUGUUUUCUUAUUAGGCAUGCAAUAUUUGAAAUCACCUAGUCUACUUAGGUAUCCAUGAUCAACCAUUUAAUUGCCACGCUUCCCUUAACUUAGUCAGUAGAGACCUUUUUAGGGCUUAGAGGGGUGCUACCUCCUAGAGGUACCUUCCCAAUAAGUAACCUGAUCCCCGGACUUAGACUCGGGUUUCUCAAAGACAUGCUUUUUCCAAAACUAUGGAGUCACUUUUUAGGGUUUUUCUUUCUUGUUUUAUUUUCCCUUCAAAAUAAAAAUAAAAUAGGUGGCGACUCCAACUUUUUUUCAAAAAUCAAUUUUUUUCACAAAUAAAAAGCGAGUCUCGCCGAUCGAGUGGGGGCGCACGUGAAAAAUGCGGGUCCACA